GACAAUUUAAAUCUUUCUGGGUUUAGGGUGCUGAAAUAAAAGGUAUUUCUUCUCCCUGGUUCAAACAAGAGCAACUCCUAAACUCAAAUUUUUGCCUAUUGCCCGGACAUGAGUGCAGAUCCAUGAGCAGUGUCAAUCACAUCAAUCACCAGUGUGGAAACUCGACAAAUGUGUGUGUGCCUGUAGUGUGCCUAGAGCUGAGCUGGCUGCUGGAGCUCCAGAAACGAGAAAUCCUAUUAGCUUAAAAUGAGUGUCUGAUGAGGCACAUGCAUUUGUGAAGGAGGAAUCAAAAUGAGGAAAUUGAGACUCAUGCUCCCCAUGGGAAUAGAAACUUGAGUUCAUUCUUUCCUACCAGGUGUCAUGCACUAUAAGGAAUAAAAUUCUAGGGGCGCCUGGGUGGCUCAGGUGGUUAAGUAUCUGCCUUCAGCUCAGGUCAUGAUCCCAGGGUCCUGGGAUCAAGCCCUGUGUCGGGCUCCCUGCUCAGUGGGGAGUCUGCUUCUCCGUCUCCCUUUGCCGCUUCCCCUGCUCAUGCUCACAUGUGCACAGACACACUCUCUCUCAAAUAAAUAAAUAAAAUUAUUUUUUAAAAAAGUAAAUCUAGGCUUCUUGCAUAACAGCGUGAUAGGAAUGUUUUCUCAUAACCUAAGUUGUACUUACUACUUUUCACUUCCAUUUGUGGCAUUAAUAGCUGGUGGGCUUUCCAGCAGUGGAAAGCUUCAGUAAGAGCCUUCUUCAAAAUUGAAAGCCUCAAUAGCCCCAAAUAGCACAAGUGAAAACCACAAAAUUCCAGGUCCAGAUGCUUCCUUAGUAAAUUCUAUCAUUUAAGUGAGAAAUCCUAUCCAUCCUACAAAAUACCUCAAAAAUGAGAGUGUACUUGCCAGUUUGUUUCAAGGGACCAGUAUUAACUCUGAAACCAAAACCAAACAAGACAAUAAGAAAAGAUACCUAAAGACCAAUAUCACUCAUGACUUAGCCUAACAAAUAUAGUAGAUCCAAUCUAACAAUAUACACACAAGGUAAUACAGUAUCAUGACCAAUUGAGAUGAAUCCCAGGAGUAAGUAUAAUAUUUUCACAUUCAAAAAUCACUCAAUAUAAUUCACCAUUUUAAUAAGAAAACCAUAUUACCAUACCAAUAAAUGCAUACAAUUCAUACACCAUUCAUGAUAAAAACUCUGAUCAAAGUAGGACUUCCUUAACUUGAUCAAGGGCAUUUCUGAAAAACUUGCAGCUAAUA
rnacentral:lncRNA from 1 species